rnacentral:rRNA from 1 species
UACGUAGGGGGCAAGCGUUGUCCGGACUUAUUGGGCGUAAAGAGCGUGUAGGCGGCCAGGUAGGUCUGCUGUGAAAACUCGAGGCUCAACCUCGAGACGUCGGCGGAAACCAUCUGGCUAGAGUCCGGAAGAGGAGAAUGGAAUUCCUGGUGUAGCGGUGAAAUGCGCAGAUAUCAGGAGGAACACCGGUGGCGAAGGCGGUUCUCUGGGCCUUACCUGACGCUGAGGAGCGAAAGCAUGGGGAGCAAACAGG